rnacentral:lncRNA from 1 species
GCAGGAUCGGGCGGAGGGACGGGAGGGGAAGUCGAGGCGCCAGGGCUCCUUGGGGAAGUGAAGGCAAUAGGAGGGGCCCCAGGGCCAGGGGACAGGCGGUGUGUAGCGGGAUGGGGGCGAAAACGCCCGGGCGCUGGGGUUCCCAUAAACAAGGGGAGCAGAGCAAAAGAACGGGCGGGGGACCACGCUGUGUGUAACAGGGAGAGGGAUGGGGCUCCUGGAAGAGGUGAACACGAGGAGAAAGAGAGAUGCCAGACGUACACAGAAAGGAGGGGAAAGUGGGCUUGGGAGAGGUGCUGUGGGAAGCGGAGUCCCGGAGCCUGGUGUGCAUAACGGGGUUUGGGAGAAGGCCCCUGAUGGGUACAGAAAGAAGUAACGAUGUCACCGCCAUAUAUGGGGGGCGAGAGAAAAG